rnacentral:rRNA from 1 species
UGGUUAAAAAGCUCGUAGUUGGAUCUCGGCGGUCUGAGGGCGGUUCGCUUGAUUGAGUGCUACUGCUCUAUAGGCCGUGGUUUUGCCAGAGGUCUCGGGGUGCUCUUAACCGAGUGUCCUGCGAUGCUGGCAGGUUUACUUUGAAAAAAUUAGAGUGCUCAAAGCAGGCUUUUACGCCUGAAUAUUCGUGCAUGGAAUAAUAGAAUAGGAAGUCGUUUCUAUUUUGUUGGUUUUCGGAAAUCGACUUAAUGAUUAAUAGGGACAGUCGGGGGCAUUUGUAUUCAAACGACAGAGGUGAAAUUCUUGGACCGUUUGAAGACAAACUACUGCGAAAGCAUUGCCAAGAAUGUUUUCAUUAAUCAAGAACGAAAGUUAGAGGUUCGAAGGCGAUUAGAUACCGCCCUAGUUCUAACCAUAAACGAUGCCAGCUAGCGAUCUGCCGACGUUUUCUUUGUAGACUCGGCAGGAAGCUUCCGGGAAACCAAAGCAUUUGGGUUCCAGGGGAAGUAUGGUUGCAAAGCUGAAACUUAAAGGAAUUGACGGAAGGGCACCACCAGGAGUGGAGCCUGUGGCUUAAUUUGACUCAACACGGGAAAUCUCACCAGGCCCGGACACUGAAAGGAUUGACAGAUUGAUAGCUCUU